ACAGAUAUUUUCGGCAUAAUAUAGUUUCCAUUUUUUUAGGAGAAAACCUGCAAAGAUUUAAAGCAUCACCUUGAAGUACAGAUAGAAUGCGCACAUAAGGAAUGAACUGAAAAAACUCCAACUGGAAAAAGAGGAGCAUAAGAUGUUUCUUUUCUGUAACAAAAUAUGUUAUAGCAUAAUACGACUUCUCAUCAGUUGAAAUUGGAGUGCAAUUCAAUGCAGGGACAACUAAUGCAGGCCCAGAAGAGUUUAAAACAAAAGGAAAAAGAAGAACAACGACUUCAGGGUAACAGAAAUGAGUUAAAGCAACUGACUGAACAGAAGAAAAAGCAAAUUGAAGCACUCCAAGGAGAGAUUAAAAGAUAGAACUUGAGAAUAAACUACAGCAGCAGUCAACACAAGCAGCACAGGAACUUGCAGCAGAGAAAGAGAAAAUAUCAGUGUUACAAAAUGCCUAUGAAAAAAAUCAGGAAAAUCUAAAGCAGCUUCAGUCUGAUUUCUAUGGGAAGGAAUCUGAACUUCUUGCCACAAGCAAGAUCUCAAGGUAUCAUAAAAACUCACUAUGUUAUUGAUAAAUAUUAAAUGAUUGAUCUGAACCCAGAUGGGCAGGGAAUGUUAGUAUUUGUGGAAUAUCAUACUUGUUUUCUUUUGAAUUAUUUUUGGAGAAAUAUGCUUUUUAAAAAAUAAGUUGUGGGAAUUCGUGUCGUGGCUCAGUGGUAACAAACCCAACUAGUAUCCAUGAAGGUGAGGUUUUGAUCCCUGGCCUUUCUUAGUGGGUUAAGGUUCCAGUGUUGCCAUGAGCUGUGGUGUAGGUCGCAGAUGCAGCUUGGGUCCCGUGUUGCUGUGGUGUAGGCUGGCAACUGUAGCCCUGAUUUGUCCCUUAGCCUGUGAACUUCCAUAUCCAUGGGUGCAGCCCUAAAAAGGCAAGGAAGAAAAGGAAGGAAGAAAGGAAAAGAGAAAAGAAAAAGAAUUCUACUGCAGUGCCUUGGGGAGGCAUGGGUUUGAUCCCUGGCCUGGAGCAGGGGGUUCAAGGACAGCUGCCACUCAGAUUCAAUCCCUGGCUUGGGACCUUCCAUAUGCCAUGGGUGUGGCCAUUUAAAAACAACCACAAAACCCCAUACAAAUGUAUCUUUUAAUAGUGAAACAAUUUGGAAAUAUGUUAACUGUCGUAUUAGCUUAUCAAAGGACUUUGCUGCCU
rnacentral:lncRNA from 9 species